ensembl:snRNA U1 U1 spliceosomal RNA
AUGGUUACCUGGUAGGGGACAUACUAAGAUCAAGAAGGUGGUUCACUCAGGGCGAGGCUCAACCAUUGCACUCCAGUUGUGCUGACCCCUGCGAAUUCCCCGAAUGUGGGAAUCUUGACUGCAUAAUUUCUAGUGGGGGUCUGCAUUCGCACCCUCCCCUG